rnacentral:lncRNA from 1 species
UGACAGUGUGUUCAUUUCGUAGGGAGGAAUACGUGGAGUAGCUACAAGUUGGCUACGUGGAAGAGCCAUUUUUAGAGGUCAACAUACAUGUCUACAACCGGACGUGCUAAAUCUUUUGAAAAGAGUAAGUAAUGCAGAAGCAAUCUGAAGAAACGCUAAAUUAUAUCCAGCCUUUGGCCUCAAUUUUUCGCUUAAUGCAUCUGUAAUUAAAAAUUUCAAAACCCCACAUUCACCCUAAAAAAACAUAUAAUAAAAAAAUCUAAAAGAGAUAAGAGAUAAAGCUUACAGGCAAGCAGAUUCUUAGAAAUUGAGCGUAUAUUACACACGACUGAGCUUAUCUUACAUACGAUUGACCGAUUGAAGUCGAGCAGAGUGUGUAGAGACCGUGAGAGACGUAGAGAGCGCGAGAGAGAUGAGAUGGGGAGAAGGUUUGGGUUUGGAGAAUUGGGCUGGGUUAAUGGGUUAUAAUUUUUUCGUUUUGGGUUUCAUUUUUUUUUCCAUUUUGGGCUUAAACUAUAAGGAUGCGGGCGGUAAACAAUUU